UUUUUAGUAAAGGGGUAAAAAAGGGUGUAAAAGAUAUCAUGGGAAAGACAACAAGGAAACUUGAAGUUGUUUCUCCUGUUCCAGCAGAUAUAGAUAUUGCUAACUCUGUUCAACCUCUUCAUAUUUCUGAGAUUGCUCAAGAACUCAGUCUUAGCUCUCAGCAUUAUGAUUUGUAUGGAAAAUAUAAAGCCAAGGUAGUACCUUUUUAAAUGUAGAUUCAUGUGUUAAAGAUAUGUUCGAGUUAAUUUCUUAGAUGGUCGCUUAACUAAUAGUUAUUAUCUUGGAAAGUUAGUAUCUUUGUUAAAGAAAAUUGGGAUCAAGAAAAAAAAAGUGACUUUUUGAUGAUCUUUCUUGGAUUUUAGCUUGUACUCACUCUGUUGUAUUAUUUUGGUUUACUUUGGUAAUCUAUGUUGAUUGACUGUGGUAGAGUCAGGAUUUUUGUUAAGGAGAUUCAAAAUAUAAAGAACUAAACAUGAAGAAGCCAAUAAGAUUCAACAUAUAUAUAUAUAGUAUAUAUACAUAUUUUUUUUGACAUCUUCAUAUUUCUGAGAUUGCUCAAGAACUCAAUCUUAGCUCUCACCAUUAUGAUUUGUAUGGGAAGUAUAAAUCCAAGGUAGUACCUUUUUUUUCUUCUUUUCUUACAUGUUACCAUUGAAGGUAGAUUCAUGUGUUAAAGAUAUGUUCGAGUUGGUUUCUCAUAUGGUCGCUUAACUAAUAGUUAUUAUCUGGAAAAGUUACUUUCUUUGUUGAAGAAAAUUGGAAUCGAGAUAAAAUGUGUUUUGACUUGGUACUCUGCUGUAUUAUUUUGGUUAUCUAUGUUGAUUGG
rnacentral:lncRNA from 1 species